rnacentral:rRNA from 1 species
GAUGAACGCUGGCGGCGUGCCUAAUACAUGCAAGUCGAGCGAACAGACGAGGAGCUUGCUCCUCUGACGAUAGCGGCGGACGGGUGAGUAACACGUGGAUAACCUACCUAUCAGACUGGGAUAACUUCGGGAAACCGGCGCUAAUACCGGAUAAUAUAUUGCACCGCAUGGUUCAAUAGUGAAAGACGGUUUUGCUGUCACUUAUAGAUGGAUCCGCGCCGCAUUAGCUAGUUGGUAAGGUAACGGCCUACCAAGGCGACGAUGCGUAGCCGACCGGAUAGGCUGAUCGCCCACACGAGAAGGGAGACACGGACAUGGCUCCUGCGGGAGGCAGCAGUAGGCAAUGGGCCGCAACGGGCGAAAGCAUGACGGAGCAACGCGAAGUGAGAGGUGAAGGUCUUGCGAGCGGAAAACUCGCUUAUGAGGGAAGAACAAAUGUGGAAGUAACUAUGCACGGCUUGACGGUACCGAAUCAGAAAGCCACGGCUAACUACGUG